rnacentral:rRNA from 1 species
GCGCAGAUAUCAGGAGGAACACCGAUGGCGAAGGCAGGUCUCUGGGCCAAUACUGACACUGAGGAGCGAAAGCGUGGGGAGCGAACAGGAUUAGAUACCCCGGUAGUCCACGCCGUAAACGGUGGGCGCUAGUUGUGCGAACCUUCCACGGUUUGUGCGACGCAGCUAACGCAUUAAGCGCCCCGCCUGGGGAGUACGAUCGCAAGAUUAAAACUCAAAGGAAUUGACGGGGCCCCGCACAAGCAGCGGAGCAUGCGGCUUAAUUCGACGCAACGCGAAGAACCUUACCAAGGCUUGACAUAUACAGGAAUACGGCAGAGAUGUCGUAGCCGCAAGGUCUGUAUACAGGUGGUGCAUGGUUGUCGUCAGCUCGUGUCGUGAGAUGUUGGGUUAAGUCCCGCAACGAGCGCAACCCUCGUUCUGUGUUGCCAGCAUUUAGUUGGGGACUCACAGGAGACUGCCGGGGUUAACUCGGAGGAAGGUGGGGAUGACGUCAAAUCAUCAUGCCCCUUAUGUCUUGGGCUGCACGCAUGCUACAAUGGCUGGUACAAACGGCUGCAAUACCGCAAGGUGGAGCGAAUCCGAGAAAGCCAGUCUCAGUUCGGAUUGGGGUCUGCAACUCGACCCCAUGAAGUCGGAGUUGCUAGUAAUCGUAGAUCAGCAACGCUACGGUGAAUACGUUCCCGGGGCUUGUACACACCGCCCGUCACAUCACGAAAGUCGGUAACACCCAAA